GGCUAUCAGGUAAUCAGGGAGUUGUAUGAACAAAUUAAAAUAAAUAGAAACAACUUCUUUUUAAUUGAAGAAAGUUGAGUCGUUGGGUUGCUGUCGUACAGGCGUUUUUCUCGUUUAUCGAUAUACGUUUAUUUAGUUGAAAUAUGUCAUGUUAAAGAAUGCUUUAUGUCCAGUGGCAACCAUUUCAUACAUAUUCAGUACGACUAAACAAAGAUUAAAGGUUCUAAAUAUUUUAAACUCACAAAUAAAGCAUUUUAUAAGGAUACAUUCAUCACAUAUUUCUUGAUUGACAAUAAAUAACAUUUAUAAAAAG
rnacentral:lncRNA from 1 species